ensembl:snoRNA
GGCAGGGGAUGUCCUUUCUCACGAUGGUCUUCAGAGGCCCUGAGCGAUGGGGUUACUGUUGAUUCUGCCUUAAGGCUCAGCUGAUGCCGGCUU